UACGAAGGGGGCGAGCGUUGUUCGGAUUUACUGGGCGUAAAGGGCGCGCAGGCGGCUUUGUUUGUCAGGCGUGAAAGCCCCGGGCUUAACCUGGGAACUGCGUUUGAUACGGCAGGGCUAGAGUUCGGGAGAGGAGAGUGGAAUUCCCAGUGUAGAGGUGAAAUUCGUAGAUAUUGGGAAGAACACCGGUGGCGAAGGCGGCCACCUGGCUCGGUACUGACGCUCAGGUUCGAAAGCGUGGGGAGCAAACAGG
rnacentral:rRNA from 1 species